AGUGAACGCUGGCGGUAGGCCUAACACAUGCAAGUCGAACGGCAGCACAGUAAGAGCUUGCUCUUACGGGUUGCGAGUGGCGUACGGGUGAGGAAUACAUCGGAAUCUUCUUUUUCGUGGGGGAUAACGUAGGGAAACUUACGCUAAUACCGCAUACGACCUUCGGGUGAAAGCAGGGGAUCUUCGGACCUUGCGCGAUUUAUUUAGCCGAUGUCGGAUUAGCUAGUUGGCGGGGUAAAGGCCCACCAAGGCGACGAUCCGUAGAGGGUCUGAGAGGAUGAUCAGCCACACUGGAACUGAGACACGGUCCAGAAUCCUACGGGAGGCAGCAGUGGGGAAUAUUGGACAAUGGGCGAAAGAAUGAUCCAGCAAAACCGCGUGGGUGAAGAAGGACUUCGGGUUGUAAAGCCCUUUUGUUGGGAAAGAAAAGCAGCAGGAUAAUACCCCGCUGUUGUGACGGUACCCAAAGAAUAAGCACCGGCUAACUUCGUG
rnacentral:rRNA from 1 species